CUAUUCUUCCAAUCCAGUAUCAUUUGUACGUUGCAGCAUCAUCGAACACUAUGACCCAUGAAUCAGAAGAUAACGUAGAUGCUACGAGAGAGCUCAUUUCACAAUGGACAACAGAAGUGUUACGUGACUUUCUACAAGGAGGGGACUCAAGCUUGGAAAUCGAGUACCGGUAGUCAUUAUUUUAUGGGUGUUCUCUGCCUUGACUCUGGGGGUACUGUUCAGCCAUCCGAGGUAGAGAUAAACUGGACGAUGGAUGGAGGGGGGGGGGGGGGAGAAAGGCAUGCAGACUGCAGAGCUGGUCGUCUACUAUGUAUAGAGACAUUUGUGUGUACCUAGUAGAUAAGGACCCUCCAUCACUAGAGGGAAGAAUGAGAGACUACAAAGAGGGAAAGGCAUUUAGUUAUUUUGCCAGUUUCUGGUUAGGGAGAUAUUUUUUUCAUCUCGUGGGAGAAAGCUGUCUGUAAUUCAAAAUCAUUUGAUACUUGAAUAAAUUUAGUUCAUUUUCUAGACUGUUUCAUGUCAAACCGUUGAUUCUACUUUCUUGUGAGUAUAGUCAGAGAGAUAGAGAAGUAACACGAGUAAAGAAUGAAAAAGAAGCUAAUGUUUGAACGAGGAGGAGAAAAUGGAGAUUACGUUGUUGCCCAUAGAGUUGGAAUAGUUGUUCUUACCACUUUUUAUUAAAUGAUUGUGACCAUUUGGUU